rnacentral:rRNA from 1 species
CCUACGGGUGGCAGCAGUGAGGAAUAUUGGUCAAUGGGCUUACGCCUGAACCAGCCAAGUCGCGUGAGGGAAGACUGCCCUAUGGGUUGUAAACCUCUUUUGUCAGGGAGCAACGCCGGCUACGUGUAGCCGGACUGAGAGUACCUGAAGAAAAAGCAUCGGCUAACUCCGUGCCAGCAGCCGCGGUAAUACGGAGGAUGCGAGCGUUAUCCGGAUUUAUUGGGUUUACAGGGUGCGUAGGCGGAAUGCCAAGUCAGCGGUAAAAUCGCGGGGCUCAACCUCGCUCCGCCGUUGAAACUGGCGGUCUUGAGUGGGCGAGAAGUAUGCGGAAUGCGUGGUGUAGCGGUGAAAUGCUUAGAUAUCAGGAGGAACAUCGGUGGCGUAAGCGCUUUACUGGGCCGUAAUUGACGCUGAGGAACGAAAGCCAGGGUAGCAAAUGGGAUUAGAUACCCUGGUAGUC